rnacentral:rRNA from 1 species
CUGCUAUCGGAUUGAUACUAAGCCAUGCGAGUCUUUGUAGUAAUACAAGGCAUACGGCUCAGUAACACGUAGUCAACCUACCCUAUGGACGAGAAUAAUCUCGGGAAACUGAGCAUAAUUCUUGAUAGAUCAUAAUGCCUGGAAUGGUUUAUGGUUAAAAUGAUUCGUCGCCAUAGGAUGGGACUGCGGCCUAUCAGUUUGUUGGUGAGGUAAUGGCCCACCAAGACUAUUACAGGUACGGGCUCUGAGAGGAGUAGCCCGGAGAUGGGUACUGAGACACGGACCCAGGCCCUAUGGGGCGCAGCAGGCGAGAAAACUUUGCAACGUGCGAAAGCACGACAAGGUUAAUCCGAGUGGUUUCUGCUAAAGGAACCUUUUGUUAGUCCUAAAAACACUAACGAAUAAGGGGUGGGCAAGUUCUGGUGUCAGCCGCCGCGGUAAAACCAGCACCUCAAGUGGUCAGGAUGAUUAUUGGGCCUAAAGCAUCCGUAGCCUGCUCUGUAAGUUUUCGGUUAAAUCUGUAUGCUCAACAUACAGGCCGCCGGGAAUACUGCAGAGCUAGGGAGUGGGAGAGGUAGACGGUACUCGGGAGGAAGUGGUAAAAUGCUUUGAUCUCUCGAUGACCACCUGUGGCGAAGGCGGUCUACCAGAACACGUCCGACGGUGAGGGAUGAAAGCUGGGGGAGCAAACCGGAUUAGAUACCCGGGUAGUCCCAGCCGUAAACUAUGCAAACUCAGUGAUGCAUUGGCUUGUGGCCAAUGCAGUGUUGCAGGGAAGCCGUUAAGUUUGCCGCCUGGGAAGUACGUACGCAAGUAUGAAACUUAAAGGAAUUGGCGGGGAGCACCACAAGGGUGAAGCUGCGGU